rnacentral:tRNA from 1 species
GGGGGUAUAGCUUAGUGGUAGAGUGUGUGCUGAGCAUGCAUGAGGUCCUGAGUUCAAUUUCCAGUAACUCCA